rnacentral:rRNA from 1 species
UGAGUACGAGCUGCUACGGCAGCGAAGUGGGUGACGUCAAGCUUCCAAGAAAAGCCCUACACCCGUUAAGGCAUGAUGGCCUGUACCCGAAACCGACACAGGUGGGGUGGUAGAGAAUACCGAGGGGCGCGAGGUAACUCUCUCUAAGGAACUCGGCAAAAUGGCCCCGUAACUUCGGGAGAAGGGGUGCCACCGCAAGGUGGUCGCAGUGAAGAGGCCCAGGCGACUGUUUACCAAAAACACAGGUCUCCGCUAAGUCGCAAGACGAUGUAUGGGGGCUGACGCCUGCCCAGUGCCGGAAGGUUAAGGAAGCUGGUCAGCGCAAGCGAAGCUGGCGACUGAAGCCCCGGUGAACGGCGGCCGUAACUAUAACGGUCCUAAGGUAGCGAAAUUCCUUGUCGGGUAAGUUCCGACCCGCACGAAAGGCGUAACGAUCUGGGCGCUGUCUCGGAGAGAGGCUCGGCGAAAUAGAAUUGUCUGUGAAGAUGCGGACUACGUGCACCCGGACAGAAAGACCCUAUGAAGCUUUACUGUAGCUUGGUAUUGUGCCCGGGCUCUCUAUGCGCAGGAUAGGUGGGAGGCUUUGAUCCAUUGCUUGUGGGUGAUGGUGAGCCAACGGUGAGAUACCACUCUUUCAGAGCUAGGGUUCUAACGGUCACCCGUUAUCCGGGGACCGGACAGUAUCAGGUGGGCAGUUUGACUGGGGCGGUCGCCUCCUAAAAGGUAACGGAGGCGCGCAAAGGUUCCCUCAGGCUGGUUGGAAAUCAGCCGAUGAGUGUAAAGGCAGAAGGGAGCUUGACUGUGAGACCUACAAGUCGAACAGGGACGAAAGUCGGCCUUAGUGAUCCGACGGUUCUGAGUGGAAGGGCCGUCGCUCAACGGAUAAAAGUUACUCUAGGAUAACAGGCUGAUCUCCCCCAAGAGUUCACAUCGACGGGGAGGUUUGGCACCUCGAUGUCGGCUCAUCGCAACCUGGGGCUGAAGUCGGUCCCAAGGGUUGGGCUGUUCGCCCAUUAAAGCGGUACGCGAGCUAGGUUCAGAACGUCGUGAGACAGUUCGGUCCAUAUCCGGUGCAUGCGCAGGAAUAUUGAGAGGAUUUCUCCCUAGUACGAGAGGACCGGGAGGAACGCACCUCUGGUGUACCAGUUAUCGUGCCAACGGUAAACGCUGGGUAGCCAUGUGCGGAGUGGAUAACCGCUGAAAGCAUCUAAGUGGGAAGCCCACCUCAAGAUGAGUAUUCCCAUGGCGUUAGCCAGUAAGGUCACGGGCAGAACACCCGUUGAUAGGCUCUACGUGGAAGCCGGGUAACCGGUGAAGCGGAGGAGUACUAAUAGACCGAGGGC